UGGGUCGUGGAUCGUAUGGUACAGUGAAGAGGGCGCUAUGGAGAGACCGACCGGUGGCCGUGAAACUGAUAGAGAGCGAGUCGGAGCAAAAAGCAUUCCAACGGGAGGUGAGGCAGCUCUCGCGCGUCCGUCAUCCUAACAUAGUACAGCUGUACGGAGCCUGCACCCAGCAACAAGUGUGUCUAGUGAUGGAAUAUGCAGAGGGAGGAUCCUUGUACAAUG